GCCCCGGGGCUCAGGGGCAGCCCAGGACUCUCCCUCGCCCGGCUCACGGCCCUGCCUGGGGGCGCCUCCGGGAGCAGAUCGCGAGCCCUGGGGCCCAGCCCUCAGGAGCGUCUAGCUCGGCGGUCACCCCAGUGCCGGGAGGACCCUGGAGACGCGCCCCGGGCGGCCCUACUCAGAGCCUCCUCCCAAGACCCAGGAAUGCGGCGCUGUCGGGGGUGUGUGCGGUGGCCACACCGCUGGCCGGGUCCCCAAAGCGGGCCCCGCUCCCACUUCCCACCCUGGCCCCGAACCCUGGGUCCAGCCCCAGCGCUUUGUGUGCGAACACCGCUCCGCCCCCGACCCAGCUCCGCCUUGGGACCCCUCUCUGCCUGCCCCUCCGUGCCCGACUACACUGCUUCCCCUCCGGCGGGCGACUCAGCCCGGUCCAUCGCGGCGGCUUCCAGGGCGGCAGGCUCCGGGGGGACUCCGGGCCGGCUCCAAGGACUGUUCCCCUCCUCCCCACGCCCACUCCGCGGCGGCGGCGGGCGAGAGCGGCGACAUAGGGCCAGGGACCGGAGCGAUGGAGGCUCCGGGCCGGGGAGCAGGUCCCCCCACCCGGCAACGCGAGGAUGGUGGCGGCGCAGUCGGCUGCUUUGGGGUCUCAAGGCACAGGGGACGCGAGGCACAGAUGUCCCACAGCAGCCACUGCCGCUCCCGCAGCUGCUCCGCCGCAGCUGCCCGCCCCUCCCCGCUGCAGCUGGCGUGAUGGCAGCGGCAGCUCUGGACGCCCCACUGCUGCCACAUCAGCCUUGUGAAAUAGCUUGAAAGAUCUAGCCAUGUGAGCAGGACAGAAGUGCACAAAAACCAUAUCUUGAUUUCUGUGGACCAGGUGGGCCCCCUGCCAGCCUUGCUAGACAGACCCAGGUGAACAGUCCUUCUAGGGGAUCUCAUCACCAGGCAAGCACGUGGUACAAGAAGAGCAGUCAUCAGGAAGGCCAUUUGGAAAAGCACAUCCUCUCUGUUCACAUGAGAUACUUUACAUCCUUAUUCCUCAUCGCAAGCUUCCUGAGAUUUGGAGUGUCACAGACAAGAGGGUUGGGGGAGGCCAGUGGGUAUGGAUUUGUUUAUAUUAAAAUGAGCAUAUGAAUAUUUCUGUGUACUUCAGAUAACAUUCUUUUCCAUAAAUAAGCUUCAUCAUCCAGAAGUCAUGUUGAAAGUUGGUAAUCGAGGAUAGGAAGUGUUUCCAAGGGUUGUCAGUGAUUAAAUCAACCUUACCUUAGCAUAAAUGUAUAAAAGAAGUUAGAUAAAUUAUAGAUAGAUAGAUAGAUAAUAGAUAAAUAAGGCAGAUGAUAGAUUAGAUAGAUACAGAUGAUAGAUGCUAUCAGUCUAGAUCUAUUAAUCACAGUCUUAUCAUAGUGUAAUUCCAUUAACUUCAUUAACAGCACAAGAACAGCACCUGAUGUAUGCCUGUUUCCUGAAUAUUUGGAAAUAUUAAUAUUAAUAUAGAUACAGUCAGCUUGCCAGUAUAAAGAAUCUAUCUCUCACUAUAGGCAGAGCCACGUGUUGGAUAUUAUGGAGGAAUAUGUAUUAUUUUAAUCGUUUAAAAGACUAAUAAACUUCUAAUCUACUUUUGGGAGCCUCUGCUCAAGUUCCUGAGGUUCCUACUCUAAAAUCCACAUCACCCUCCAACUGCUCUCUAUGUGAGCCGUUAGGGAGCACAAUGAAUUAGAGAAUGAAUCCUAUCAGCCCACUAAAAAAUUAUCUUUCAAAGGAUGAAGACUGAUGCUAAGGAAAAAGAGAUGAGGUCUCCCUGGUUCCGCGUUAUUACUCCUUCCUUUCUUGGGUUACGGAUUGAAGACUGACCUUUUCUUUCACUCUUCUGCAAGACACCCCCAUAAGAAAGCUGAAACCUGCUUUUAUGAAAGCCUAUGAUUACUAUAAGACAGACACGGAGCAAGAAAAUGUUUGAGGUUUGUGUCUAUAAACAAGGCUUUGCUGGAAUCCCCAGACCCACGACUUUUUAAAAGGAUAUUUUAUCUCUGCAAUACAGAUACUGAACGAGGUUGGCAAAUAAAUAUGUAUUUCUAGAGACUCUAUAA
rnacentral:sRNA from 1 species